GACGAACGCUGGCGGCGUGCCUAAUACAUGCAAGUCGAGCGGACGGAUGGGAGCUUGCUCCCAGACCGUCAGCGGCGGACGGGUGAGUAACACGUGGGCAACCUGCCUGUAAGACUGGGAUAACUCCGGGAAACCGGGGCUAAUACCGGAUAACUCUUUCCCUCACAUGAGGGAAAGCUGAAAGAUGGCAUCUCGCUAUCACUUACAGAUGGGCCCGCGGCGCAUUAGCUAGUUGGUGAGGUAACGGCUCACCAAGGCGACGAUGCGUAGCCGACCUGAGAGGGUGAUCGGCCACACUAGAGCUGAAACACGGCCAAGAGUCCUGAGAGAGGCCGCAGAAGGGAAUCUUCCGCAAUAGACGAGAGUAUGGCAGAACAACGCCAAGUGAGUGAUGAAGGUGUUCGGAUCGUAAAGCUCUGUUGUCAGGGAAGAACAAGUACCGGAGGAACUGCCGGUACAUUGACGGUACCUGACCAGAAAGCAACGGCUAACUACGUG
rnacentral:rRNA from 1 species